GUGGCUGUAGCCAAGUGGUAAGGCGCGAGGUUGUGACCCUCGCAUGCGCCGGUUCGAUCCCGGUCAGUCACCCC
rnacentral:tRNA from 1 species